rnacentral:rRNA from 1 species
UACGAAGGGGGCUAGCGUUGUUCGGAAUUACUGGGCGUAAAGCGCACGUAGGCGGUUGUUUAAGUCUGUCGUGAAAUCCCCGGGCUCAACCUGGGAAUGGCGAUGGAUACUGGGCAGCUAGAGUGUGUCAGAGGUGGGUGGAAUUCCUAGUGUAGAGGUGAAAUUCGUAGAUAUUAGGAAGAACACCGGUGGCGAAGGCGGCCCACUGGUCCGGUACUGACGCUGAGGUGCGAAAGCGUGGGGAGCAAACAGG